GAAGAAGCGGGAAUACCUCAAUAAGACGAGAAGACCCCAUGGAGCUUCAAACCCAAUUACACCCCUAACUCCUAUAACUGACUAACCCUUAGGGUCCUGUAUCCUCGGUUUUAGGUUGGGGCGACCAAGGAGUACAACAAAACCUCCACAAUGAACGGGACUUCUCCCUCAUCUAAGAGCUACACCUCUAAGAAUUAAAAUAUUAACAUAAAAUGAUCCAUUUUUUGAUCAAUGAACCAAGUUACCCUGGGGAUAACAGCGCAAUCCAUUUCAAGAGCCCCUAUCGACAAAUGGGUUUACGACCUCGAUGUUGGAUCAGGGUAUCCUAGUGGUGCAGCAGCUACUAAAGGUUCGUUUGUUCAACGAUU
rnacentral:rRNA from 1 species